GUGAUCUUUCUCCUCCAGAGCUUUCCAUGCACUUCCUUUUGCUUCCCGUAGUCCUUCCCUAAGGCGCUGCUGACAUGGACUUUCUUACAGGCACCACGGGGCAGAUCACGGUCACCCAGGAAGAUGGAGAAGUCAUGGUCAAGCAGGGACACCCCUUCCACACCACCUGCAAAUACCAGACCAGUGAUUUUCGGGGAUUACUCUGGUACCAGCUGCGGAAACGCCAAUCCCCCCAGCUGGUCUCCUAUCAAUCAGGGACUGGCCCCAAGCACAGCGGCCGUAUCAGCACGCACCUGAACACCACGGGGAAAUACAGUGUCCUGAAGGUGGAGGAAGUGGAGCUGUCUGACAGUGCCUUGUACCUGUGUGCUGUGCAAGACACCCUGGUGCAGGGAGCUUCCUCGGCUGUGCAACAACCCGGGGGAGGGAGGGAGGGAGGUGAUUUAUCUGUGCGAGGCUAAGCUUGGAGGAAGGGACCUCGACCUCAUCCCAAUGCUCUCUAGUAACGGCCUUCCCACGUGUCGACUGCGGU